rfam:Stomoxys calcitrans breed 8C7A2A5H3J4 unplaced genomic scaffold Scaffold0, whole genome shotgun sequence.
UUAAAGUCCACUCUAAUGUCUUGUUAUGGCUUAUAACCAAAUAACAUGGCCUCGCUUGUGGACAAUAUGAAAAAUGUUUUAUUAUCCUAGCUUUUGAAGUAACUCGCAUUUCAAUAAGCUCGAGAAACGUAAAACAACAAUU